GGGGGGGGGGGGGGGGGGGGGUGGCGGGUGCGGGGCGGGCGGGGAGGCCCGGGCGGGGGGGGACGGGUGGGGAGCGGGGGGGUAACACGGGGGUGAUCUGCCCUGCACUGUGGGAGAGGGCUGGUAAGCUGGGUCUAAUCCCGGAUGGGACUACGCGAUACAUGCCGUGUGGUGGAAAGCUUUUUCGGUGGGGGAUGGGCCGGCGGCCUAUCAGCUUGUUGGGGGGUGAUGGCCUACCAAGGCGACGACGGGUAGCCGGCCUGAGAGGGUGUCCGGCCACACUGGGACUGAGAUACGGCCCAGAUUCCUACGGGAGGCAGCAGUGGGGAAUAUUGCACAAUGGGCGCAAGCCUGAUGCAGCGACGCCGCGUGGGGGAUGACGGCCUUCGGGUUGUAAACCCCUUUCAGCACAGACGAAGCGUAAGUGACGGUAUGUGCAGAAGAAGCACCGGCCAACUACGUG
rnacentral:rRNA from 1 species